CCGACGCCCCCCCGCACCCUCCCGCGGCCGCCCCUCCCCGCCGCGCUGCGCACCCGCGGAGCCGCCGCCUCCCGCCCGCACCUGAGGGCGGGCAGCGCCGGGCCCCGGCUCGACGCGGCGCGGUUCGCACUUACUCCGCGGGGCCUCCGUGGCGGCGGCGCGGGCCCGGCGGUGCCCCGGGAGCGGCGCAACCACCUCUCCAGACCCGAGAGCUCCUGGCAGGUAUGAUGGACGGCAAACCCUAAUGAAGGGUGUGGUUUGGCUGGAAGCAUCAGGACUUAGCACGCCGUACAAAUUCUCAUCUGAAAUGGGAGAAUCAGGAGCCAAUUUCUGGAACAUAAUUUAUUCCAGACACUAGCUGGAAUAAACAGCAUUCUGUAACCUCCUCAGAUAUUUUGCCAGUAGGGAGCUGUCUUUACACUUCUUUCAACCGAGUCAGUGAUCCAAACACAAAAUUCAUCACUCAAGAACACAAUGUGGUUUUACAGACUCGAGGAUUUGAGUUCAUUACCACGGACAUUACUGAGCCCUAUCUGGAUGUUUUUCGCUCUGUGUCAGACCCACAGCAGCACGCUGCUUGCCUUGCCCUGAGCAGUAAAACCAGCAGCCCUCGGUCCAUCGUGUGGUCUAACUUUCUAGAAGCAACUUGAGCAUGUGCUCAGUUUCUAAAAUAUUCAUUGUUUUACUUCAGUGAAGUUUCGCCCUGGAAAAGCAGCGUAAAAAUAAGACCUCCUCGCUCAGUAAGUGCUCUCUUGUCUGCCUCAGAGUCUGUUGGUGUCUUUCAGUAACAGAAAGAAAACAGCAAUGCUUUUGCCCCCAUUCCCCUGCAGCAGCACAUAUGCAGCUGUGGCUGGGGAUGAGCUGGAUUCCAGCUGCCCUGGUGCUGCCGUUCAGAACAAAGGCACUGCCACGAGUGCAAACCUGGGUGCCCAUGUCAACACAGCCUGGUGAAAUGGAGCUUUCCAGCUCCGGAGAUACGUGUCAUCCUCUGCUCGGUGCCACUAAAAGCAAAGUCCCACACUGAAUUUUUAUCAGUAGAAAAAAAUGCAGAGGGAAAACUUACUGGAGUGGUUUCUGAUGAGACAUUUCAGAGGCAGAUGCUGUUCCCUCUGACUUCCAAUGGAUUUCAAGCAUUUUUUUUCAGUGUCUGUGAAAUCAUCAACUGCUUUCUAAGACCCAACGUUGCAAACAGCUGCGCUUGUGAUUAUAAUGAGCCCGCUUAUGGAGCUAGGUACGAGGGUGUACACAUACAGAAGUUUCCUUUAUGAAACAAAUGCUUCAAACCAGAUCGUAAAUUAUCAAAGAAAUCCUAUUUUAUUGCCUUUUAUGAUUUCAGCUCCCUGUUGCUUUUAGUUGUCCCCACUCUCCCUGAUACUCGUGAAGACCUUCAAACCGAGCGCUGCACGUGAAAUAGAACAAUAUCGUUUGCUUUGGUCUCUCUAAGAACACAAUUCCAGACGAGGUUCUUCAACAGCAAAGGCCUGAAGUUAGAAACCUGCGUGCCUAACAACGACACCGAUGGGGCUGAACGGUUCUGAGUGACAACCCGCAUGUUUAAGGUCCCAAACACGGUUUUGUGCAUCAGUGCUGUGUGAGACGCUCGUGGAAGCUGCCCGGCACAGAGCGACUACUGCAAAUUUGAAACAGCAAUUUCCCAUAUUCAGUUCAGUCAAAGGUGCCUUAUCUGGAAUCUCGGGAAACUUCUUUGUAAAUGUGCCUCGUUUUCCUGAGAAGGUUAUGGCUCCGUUUAACUCCUAGCAGUCCGAGAGGCCGGUCUGUGUAACUUAAUCGUCUUGUUUACGAUCUAAGCCUUGCUUAUCUAUCAUUAUUCUAUCCUCAGGAAGAUCAUAAAAGAAAAUUACUCGGUAUAUUCGAGAAAACUGUGUUCAUAAGGAGAUGUUCAAAUGGUUUUACCAUUCCCACCCUCGGAUCUCCUUGUAAAUAUUAACCCACGAGGCACGGAUGUGUUGUAACGAGCAGAAAAUAGAAGAGUAACGUUGUUCUAAUGAACGAAAGGAUACGAAGGCAUUGCAGCACAUUUCUGACACAUCAAGAGGAAAAAUAUAUAUAUAUAUGUCCUCAGCUGUGUGAGGAAAAGUUGUUUAUCACCUUCUGUGGGUUUGUUUGGGCCUCUUCUGCGCACACUUCUGGGAUCACUCCAGACAGCGAACUCAUUGGGAAUAAAUUGAAGGAAACGCUGCAAGUUUUAAGGAAAUAUCCUCCCGCGAUCAAAGCGAAACGUGUGGGGCAGAGGCAAAAAGCGGUGUCUGUGGCACAGAGCUCCGGCGGUGCUGCGGGGCCGGGACUGCUCCGUCCGUUCCCCCGGGGUGCGCGAAACCGGCUGUGCUGCGCCCCGGCGCUGAGUUGGGCGCUGAGUGCUUUGAGGGGACUUCCCGGCCUGAGGCCCUUCAGUUGUUUUAAUUGGGAUUUGGGGUUGGGGGGGCGGGUUGGAACAGAGGACAUGAGGUGGGGCUGGGCCAGUCCGGGGUGUCGCAGCGGUGACCUCCUGCAGCACUUCGAGGGUGUCGGGGGAAGGCUUUCGGGGCUGCUCCUUGCGCAUUGCCGCCGGGGGGUUCUUAUGCCCAGGAGAAAACUGGGACGUCAAAAAGGAUGGGGGAAAAAAAAGGACGCGCCCUCCCCCUCCCAACAAAACAAACAAAUGCAACAGAACCAGGCAGACAACAACAAAACAACACCCCGAAACCUUUCGCCUGAAAACCGACUCAUCGCUGCUGCGUAACAGUCUCCUAAACACGAGAAGCUGACGUGACUUUGUCCCUUUCGCUGUUCGCAGUGUCUGAGCGCAGCAACUGCCGAUGGACGCGUUCGGCUUUGAAGUUAUGGAAAUGGCUUCGCAGGCAUCAGCCGGUAUGAUAAUAGGUUUCAUUCUGGCUCGCUAGCUACGAGAUGGGAAAAUGCCAAAAAACGCAGCUCUCUUCCGGGGUAUCUGAAAUGUUCGGUCCCUCCUCCGAGAGGCAUUUCGGUGGGAGGCCAAGCUCGGAGAGAUGAAGGAGUGCAUAUGUUCAAAAUUACGUUUUCGACAGAAAUUCAGAUCUACCGCUUCGUGUUUAAACGUGAAGUGGGACAGAAGCGAGGGGCGAAGGGGGGCGGGGGGCUCAGCGUGCAGGAAACAUCACUGGGAAACCUGGAAUGUAGCAGCAAGGAUCAAAAGUUAAUGGCCUAUUUGAUGUGAAAAGUGAGCCGGGGAUGCCUGAGAGCGAAAAGAGCCGGCGGGACGCACCGCGCCGCCGGACGGCCCCCGCCCCGCGCAAACAGCGAAGCCAAAAAUAGCGCGCAGGUAGGAGCGGCUCCCCGCGCCUUGCUCCGGCUGUUUCCCGCGGGUCCCGCAGCCCCCGCGGCGACGAGUUGCGCGCAGUGCGCAGAGCGGGGCGGUGCGCGGGGCGGAGCAGCGAGCGCAACGCGCGCAAGGGCUGCGCGGCCGUGGGCGGGCAGCGAGCGCAGGAGGCGUCAGCCCUGUCCGCACACCGCGUGUGUCAGCUCCUGCCAGCGCCUGGUGGAAACGAAGGGUUUAAAUGACGCGCAAAUUGCGCGGAAUUUGAGACAACUGAGAAAACUCUCGAGGAGCAGACCGUUUGCUCCUCCGCACUGUGGACGCUGCACCGAGCUAUCUCGCUGCUGAUAAAGCCGGUCAGAAAAUAUCAGCCGCUGGUUCAACCCAAAGAUUUCAGCCACCCCACAGGGCUUAAUGAUAUUUUUCUAAAAAUAACGCGCUCCCUUGUGCCGUUUAAUUUCUCCUGCUUCAGCAUACGCUUUGAAUUAAAACCGUUGACAAGACUGUAACGAAAAUACUGAUUGAUGUAAACAUGGCCUGAAACAAAUCCACGCUUGAUUGUUUCUCUGACGAUGCUGAUUAAAGCCAACCCGCGCUUCCCCCGCGCCCGGCCGAGGUCUCCGACUUUGUCGGGCUGCGGCGGUGCCGGAGUGCAGUGCGAGGGCCGGGGAGACGGGCAGAAAUGCGGCAUUUGUUGGGCAACCCGAGCGGAUUGGAGGAGGCAUUAAGUACAUGGAGCGCAGUCAUUUUCUCCCUCGUUGGUCCCAUCCCAGCCUCCAGAUUUAUUCAACUGUUGAGAGAAGUCUGAAGUCAGCCCAUUGCCAGCGCUAGAAUGAAAAGGCGAAGGAAAGCCAAAAAUGCCUGUGGUCUCCGUAAACUACAUUAAAUCGCGGGGGUUUUCUAUUUAGGUGGAUAAUGAAGCGCGUAAAACGGUAGAUAAAAAUCAGUCGCUAUGGACUGUCUAGGAUUUCGUCUGUUUUUAUUAAUUUUCAUAGGAGAUUUGAAGAUUUAAGGGAUCUCUGCGCUACGAGCAGGCGCUGCGGCUGAGCUCACCCUCCGGGGACAGCCUCGGAGGCAGCGUUGUGCCACCGCCCCGCCGCCGGCAGCGCUCGGCCCGAGUCCCCCCGGCCCCUUCCCUCGCCACGCUCAGCCACCGGGGCCGGGUGCGAGGGAAAAGGUGCCUCUGCGUUCCGGGCAGAGCUCCCCGGCCCCCGGCUCUGGCAGCAUUUGGGUUGGGGUCCCCCUGGGAAUUCUGACUUUUUGGCAGCGGCGCUGCGCGGUCUUUAAAUAUAUUCUCAGAGAUACGUCUAUCGUCGGAAAUAAGCGAAUAUAGGGGAGAGGGGAGGAUGCUGGAUUUGUAUUUGGGCACAUUCCCGCAACGGCGUCAGCCGAGUCGCGGAGCAAAACCCGCGAUCCCCGAGCGACCUCAGCGCUGAGGUCUCCCAGGGCAGCGCUCCUCCUCGGCCGGAGCCGUGCGGGGCUGCGCGGUGCCGGCUGUGCGGGAGCCGGGCGGGGGGGGGGGGGGGGCAGCGACCCGGCGGAGCGAGCAGGUGCUCCCGGCUCGCAGGCGCUGCCGUGCCGGCGGGGCUGUGCGGGCUUCGCUUCCCGUGUUUGUUCACUGUUUAUUUAUUUACUUAUUUUGACUGAUUUCACAGAUUUCCAUCCAUCACAGGCACUGGUCCUGCGCUUUCCGCUUCACCCCGUGCGCCGCCUUCAGCUGCGUACCGCCCGCAGCCUGAAUUCCUCUGCGCAGAACGCAGAUUCUUGCUCAUAUUCCAUUUACCGUGGGGAAUACACACCCGAAGAUGCAUACCUGGUCUAGAGGGAGGUGUCCUUGCCUAUAGCAGGGGGUUGGAACUAGAUGAUCUUAAAGGGCCCUUUCAACCCAAACCAUUCUACGUUUCUAUGCAUACGGUUAUUUCCAGGCGGCCAAUGAAUAGGGCUUCAAACCGGGCAGCCUCCUUUGUUCAGCGGAGCGGCAUCACCAGCGCCCGGUUAGAGGGCUGAGCGUCACGGGCACGUCAGCAGCGCAGCUCACGGCGUUCGGACUCUCCACGCACAAUGCGGGCACGGCGUCGGCCGCGGGGUUCUCCUCCGGGUACCCCUCGGACGGGAGAAACGGCAGCGCGGCGCUCAGCGCACUGUCGGCAUCCACUGUCACGCCGCUGGCUGGUGGUGGGGGUACGUGCCGGACCAGCAAAGCGGGGGGCUGGGAUCCCAA
rnacentral:lncRNA from 1 species